rnacentral:rRNA from 3 species
GAAGGUCACGGCGAGACGAGCCGUUUAUCAUUACGAUAGGUGUCAAGUGGAAGUGCAGUGAUGUAUGCAGCUGAGGCAUCCUAACAGACCGGUAGACUUGAACCUUGUUCCUACAUGACCCGAUCAAUUGAUCAGGCACUCGCCAUCUAUUUUCAUUGUUCAGCUCUUUGACAACACGAAAAAACCAUUGUUCAACUCUUUGACAACAUGAAAAACCAAAAGCUCUGCCCUCCCUUCUAUCUAUCCAAGGGAUGGAAGGGCAG